rnacentral:rRNA from 1 species
GAGUUUGAUCCUGGCUCAAGAUGAACGCUGGCGGCGUGCCUAACACAUGCAAGUCGAACGGGGUAUAUAAGCGGAAGUUUACAGAUGGAAGGUUAUAUACUUAGUGGCGGUAGGGUGAGUAACGCGUGGGCAACCUGCCCCGUGCCGGGGGAUACCGCCUGGAAACAGGCGCUAAUACCGCAUAAGCGCAUACAGCCGCAUGGGUGUAUGCGGAAAGCUCCGGCCGGACGGGAUGGGCCCGCGCCCGAUUAGCCANUUGGCGGGGUAACGGCACACCAUAGCGACGAUCGGUAUCCCGGCCUGAGAGGGCGGACGGCCACAUUGGGACUGAGACACGGCCCAAACUCCUACGGGAGGCACCAGUGGGGGAAUAUUGCACAAUGGGGGAAACCCUGAUGCAGCAACGCCGCGUGAGNGAAGAAGUUCUCGGCUCCGNAACCUUCUAUCCGCAAGGAACAAAAUGGCAGGACNUGACCGAGAAGCCCCGGCUUACUCCGUGCCGNCAGGCCGCGUAAUACGGUAGAUUCAAGCGUUAUCCGGAUUUUCUGGGUGGUAAAGGGAGCGAAACNGCUGUGCCAUGCCGAUAUGAGUGGCAGGGCNUCACCCCGGAA